rnacentral:rRNA from 1 species
CCUACGGGUGGCAGCAGUGAGGAAUAUUGGUCAAUGGACGCAAGUCUGAACCAGCCAUGUCGCGUGCAGGAAGACGGCUCUAUGAGUUGUAAACUGCUUUUGUACGAGGGUAAACGCAGAUACGUGUACCUGUCUGAAAGUAUCGUAUGAAUAAGGAUCGGCUAACUCCGUGCCAGCAGCCGCGGUAAUACGGAGGAUCCGAGCGUUAUCCGGAUUUAUUGGGUUUAAAGGGUGCGUAGGCGGUUGGAUAAGUUAGUUGUGAAAUCCCGAGGGUCAACAUUGGAAUUGCCUUUGAUACUGGCCGUCGAGAGAAUAGUAGCGGUAGGCGGAAUGUGUGGUGUAGCGGUGAAAUGCUUAGAGAUCAUGCAGAACGCCGAUUGCGAAGGCAGCUUACCGAACUGCAUCUGACAUUGAUGCACGAAAGCGUGGGUAGCAAACAGGAUUAGAUACCCGAGUAGUC